rnacentral:rRNA from 1 species
UGGGGAAUAUUGGACAAUGCGGGAAACCGUGAUCCAGCAAUGCCGCGUGAGUGAUGAAGGCCCUAGGGUUGUAAAGCUCUUUUACCCGGGAUGAUAAUGACAGUACCGGGAGAAUAAGCUCCGGCUAACUCCGUGCCAGCAGCCGCGGUAAUACGGAGGGAGCUAGCGUUGUUCGGAAUUACUGGGCGUAAAGCGCGCGUAGGCGGCAGGCCAAGUCAGAGGUGAAAGCCCGGGGCUCAACCCCGGAACUGCCUUUGAAACUGGUCAGCUAGAAUCCGGGAGAGGUGAGUGGAAUUCCGAGUGUAGAGGUGAAAUUCGUAGAUAUUCGGAAGAACACCAGUGGCGAAGGCGGCUCACUGGACCGGUAUUGACGCUGAGGUGCGAAAGCGUGGGGAGCAAACAGGAUUAGAUACCCCCGUAGUCC